rnacentral:lncRNA from 1 species
ACAUGCCCACACCUGUGGCUUCUGAAGCAGAGCACCAGCAGUGACAGUCCCACCAGAACCGCAUGGAAUAGAAAACUGUGCAUUUCCCUAAGGAAAGGGAAUGCCAGAGAAGGGCAGAAGGGAAAUCAGGAAGACAAAACGUGUCUUCAUGUUGGAGUGGACCUUUCCUCUAUCUGUCAACAGAAUGGAUAAAUUGUGGAAGAGUAAUAUCAGAAUACUACACAUCAGUAAAAAACAACAAACUUCUGCUACAAACAAUCAACAUCGAUGAAUCUUUCAGGCAAAAGGGCAAAGAAAAGUAUUGGUCUUCCAAAACAAAUAGAGGACGGAGCUGCUGCUGUUGCAUGGUGUCUAGAAACUCAGACAACUUCAUCAUUCCAUAUUUGCAUCCAAGAGAGAGAAAGAAAAACUACAAUCAUUUUCCAUUUACCCAUCAACCCAUCAACCUCCAAAUAAAGGCUAUUAAAAAACAAUCAAAGUGUGAAGAGGGCAGAAAAUGUGAUGAAGAGAUUCUUUGGAGAAAGUAGCUGCCACUGUUACCUUGGGAUCUGCCUAUAGUCCUCACAGAGCUUGAGACAGGGUCUCACUAUGUUGCCCCAGUUGGCCUUGAACUGCUGGACUCAAGGGAUCCUCCUGCCUCAGCAUCCUGAGUAGCUGGGUCUACAGGCAUGAACCACCAGGCCCAGAACCCUGUCUUUUGAAAGCCAUAUGCGAUCUGUCUGCCCUGAAGUGACUACUUCAUCUCCAACCAGCCCUUGGCUGGCAAAGUCAGGAAGACUCCAGUCUUUCCUGAAGACCAGGGGAGAGUUUAUAACUCUAGCAUCAAAGUCAGCAGCUGUUCAUCUAGAAGACAACUUCCCAAAAGUCAAUGUCUUUGCCUGAAGCUUUUCUUCCCAGAUCUCCUAUGGUGAAACAACCAAAGGGAAGAAGAAUGUGGGCAGCCCUCAGUAAGACAGGAGAUGAGCAUCAACAUUGACCCAUUCUUUCUUCCAGUCCUCGAUGCUUACCUUGUACAUUCUUCUUUGUCUUCCGACUCAGUGCCUUUAGGGUAUGGACGUUGCCUGGUCCCACACAAGCCAAGCAUCAAAUGGAUGGCUCAACAAGGAGGCCAAGACCAGCUAAUGUUUAGUGAGCACCCAAAGGGGCCACACUGGAGAGAACAGCACAGCUCCGUCUGAGAAACAGCUGUUCCUUCCUGCCUGAGAGGCAGAGUGAUAGAAGAUAUCACAGAAUGUUGCUGCUUUGUCUUCCACCCUGAACCCUCCACGACCUCCCUGUAGCUUCCUGAUUUUAAGUAGACAUCAAAUGAUUCUUAAUCCUUUCUGGGUCUUGGAACGAUUUGAAAAUUGUCAACAGUACUGGGAUUCCCAGAAUAAUGCACAUAUGUACAUACUCAGAUAUUCCCCAAGCCCUGGAUAUAAUUUUAAGGGAGUUCACAGACCACACUCCCCCACCCAUCUGUGGACCCAGAUUCUGUGGGUUCGAGAUUCAGAAGCCCUGUUUCUAGGCAGGCCCUCUGUUGCUAACGCCCCUCGAGAACAUCACCCUAGAUGAUUAUCCCUUCUUCCUCCACUCCUUCCCACCUUCUCCAACUGCUGGGUUUCAGCACAAAGAUUGCUUGCCAGUUAAACUGGCACCAUGGACCGCACAGUAGUUGUUUCUUGGGUCUAGAGGAAACAGCCAGAUUCCUUUAAGUAAAUCAUGUCUUAGUUAUUGAUUGUCUCCACUUGAAGUUUUUGACAAUCUCUGAUUAAAUCAUAAACCACUGCA